rnacentral:lncRNA from 1 species
UCAUGCGUCGGCCGCCUUUAUAGCUGAGACGCGCCGGGACCUCGGGGCUGCCUUCGGGCGGGACCCGCCAAUCAGGAGUGGGAGCGGGCGCCGGGGCGGGGCUUCGCCCGCCGGGCUCGCGGGGGUCCACGAGGCGGCCCGCGCGGCCCUACCCGGCCCGCCAGCGGCCCCACGGCGGCUUUAGGGUCUGCCCCGGCCGCCCGCCCCUGCCGCCCGCCGGGCGAAGACACGAGAAGGGAAGGUCCGGAGGGUGAGGAUGCUCAGCUCCCCCCGCACGGCCGCCUCCAGGGACCGUCGGGGAGGCGGGCGGAGAGGCCACCUACCGGCGCCCUGCUCGGGGCGGGGACCCUGCUGCCCCCCACGCGUGGGAGUCUGAUGGAGAAGCGCCGCCCUGCGGGAGCGGAGCCGAGAGGAGGGCUGGCGGGCGGCAGGUGCCGGGGAAGCGACCAAUAACUCAGAUGGCUGUGUUGGAGUAAACCUCUGGAGCUGCGGAGAUGUGGAGAAGAAGACACCUCAGCUAUAUUUUGGUUGGUGUUCGCAUGGAUCGCUCCAUGAGAAGGAGGAACUCUAGACAUCACGGGUCCUUCGUUUAUCCAGCCAGUUUUAAUAAAACAGAAAAGACGGAGUGCAAGGGGGCAACAUUUGAUCUUAUUCUCGCAGGCUCUGUGUAGGAAUUAGAAGAACUGGAGUAAUUCACUUGUUAGAUUUGUUACGUUACAUUGGGGUAACAUUUCCUUCCAGAAUUCUGGGAAAGGAGCAUUCCCCAGACACAGAAGAAAGGAUACACAGUGACUCCGCCUCCUCCACUCCCAGGUUCUUUUUUAUAAAAUAAAAUGAAGGAAUUUCAAAGAACACAUCUUAGAUUCAAACAGUUUUUCAGGCAUCUCAGAAACAUUUGAUCACAAAUGUCCGGAAAAUAUGAUCACAAAUCCCAAUAGGAGGAGGUCACGUCGCUGCCUUUCUCCUCUGAGCCGCGUGAAGAACAGGUCUCAGAACACGUCUUAGAGAGAUACAGACAGACAGACGGCUAGGCAGACAGGUAGCAACGGGCUGGCAGAUAGGAGUUGUUGCUAGUGAAAUCCCAUCAUAGCAGGGUUCUCCAGGGCGCAGGAUGUCAAACUUAAUGCUUCAAAAGAGAUUGAAACCAUAUUUGAAGUGACAGUUCCUGAUCAGUCAAAUAGGUGAAGAUUUGCCAGUGGGGAGAAACAGGAAGAUUUCGCUGUGUCGCCCUCCCUGAGCAAACCCCAGUAACGAUUACCUUUCCAAACAGAAGCACUGACCACUUGGCAUUCGAAGAUUACAUAACCCAGUACAAUAAGAGAUCGAAAAAAUAAAUGGGGCAACACAGCACGUAGUUCAGAGAAGCAAUGCCUUUUUUUUUAUUAUAUGGAGCUUAAGUAGCUGACAAUGUGGACAUUUUCAAGUAACUGAGACAAGAACUAAAUGUUUUAGGAAGUCCUAAGUCAGUAGCAAGCAGUGCAUGAGGCUUUCCUUCUGGUGAUAUUCUUAGUAUGGUGCUAAAAUUUAAGAGGUCAUGGGUAGAAAAAGAAUUAUUUGGUCGGUAGGCUAUAAAUAAUGGUUAUAUUCUGGGCCAGCUCAUUUUUCUUCCCCUUUUUGUGAAUGUGUCUGUAACGGGAGGAAAUUAAGAAGAGGAAGAAUUUCUAGACUGUGGUAGAAGCAAUCAACUCAUUUAGCCUAAAAUUGUGUUGUGCAAUCUGAUAUUUAAAAAGUGUUUGAUACACUCAAUUUUUUAAGUCUCUGUGACAAAGGAAAACAGC